rnacentral:rRNA from 1 species
UGAACGCUGGCGGCGUGCCUAACACAUGCAAGUCGUACGAGAAAUCCCAAGCUUGCUUGGGAGAGUAAAGUGGCGCACGGGUGAGUAACGCGUGGGUAAUCUACCCCCAAAUCUGGGAUAACUCCGCGAAAGCGGUGCUAAUACCGGAUAAGACCACAUCCCGUCUGCGGGAAGAGGUAAAAGCUGACCUCUCCAUGGAAGUUAGCGCUUGGGGACGAGCCCGCGGCCUAUCAGCUUGUUGGUGGGUAACGGCCUACCAAGGCUACGACGGGUAGCUGGUCUGAGAGGAUGAUCAGCCACACUGGAACUGGAACACGGUCCAGACUCCUACGGGAGGCAGCAGUGAGGAAUUUUGCGCAAUGGGCGAAAGCCUGACGCAGCAACGCCGCGUGGGUGAAGAAGGCCUUCGGGUCGUAAAGCCCUGUCAGGUGGGAAGAACCGUUUCAGCACUAAUAAUGCUGGAGCCUGACGGUACCACCAGAGGAAGCACCGGCCAACUCCGUG